GGGGAAGCUACGGAUUCGACAGGGGUAGUUCGAGCUUAGGUUGCGAGUCGAGGGGAUCGGCCUCGUUAAAACGUCAAAGCCUAUAACUGGCAAACAAAACAACAACUUAGCUUUCGCAGCUUAAUACUGCAUAGCUGUUCGCCCCUCCAUCGCCUAUGUGGUAGGGUAGCGGACUUUAUUUUAGGAAAUUUUAUGCUUUAUUAUAGUAAUUAAUAAUAGGCACUGUAAUAAAUACAGUUGAUAUUAUUGGAUUUUUGGGAAUCUCCAAUU
rnacentral:tmRNA from 1 species